AAAUUGAAGAGUUUGAUCAUGGCUCAGAUUGAACGCUGGCGGCAGGCCUAACACAUGCAAGUCGAACGGUAGCACAGAGAGCUUGCUCUCGGGUGACGAGUGGCGGACGGGUGAGUAAUGUCUGGGAAACUGCCUGAUGGAGGGGGAUAACUACUGGAAACGGUAGCUAAUACCGCAUAACGUCGCAAGACCAAAGAGGGGGACCUUCGGGCCUCUUGCCAUCAGAUGUGCCCAGAUGGGAUUAGCUAGUAGGUGGGGUAACGGCUCACCUAGGCGACGAUCCCUAGCUGGUCUGAGAGGAUGACCAGCCACACUGGAACUGAGACACGGUCCAGACUCCUACGGGAGGCAGCAGUGGGGAAUAUUGCACAAUGGGCGCAAGCCUGAUGCAGCCAUGCCGCGUGUAUGAAGAAGGCCUUCGGGUUGUAAAGUACUUUCAGCGGGGAGGAAGGUGUUGAGGUUAAUAACCUCAGCAAUUGACGUUACCCGCAGAAGAAGCACCGGCUAACUCCGUGCCAGCAGCCGCGGUAAUACGGAGGGUGCAAGCGUUAAUCGGAAUUACUGGGCGUAAAGCGCACGCAGGCGGUCUGUCAAGUCGGAUGUGAAAUCCCCGGGCUCAACCUGGGAACUGCAUUCGAAACUGGCAGGCUAGAGUCUUGUAGAGGGGGGUAGAAUUCCAGGUGUAGCGGUGAAAUGCGUAGAGAUCUGGAGGAAUACCGGUGGCGAAGGCGGCCCCCUGGACAAAGACUGACGCUCAGGUGCGAAAGCGUGGGGAGCAAACAGGAUUAGAUACCCUGGUAGUCCACGCCGUAAACGAUGUCGACUUGGAGGUUGUGCCCUUGAGGCGUGGCUUCCGGAGCUAACGCGUUAAGUCGACCGCCUGGGGAGUACGGCCGCAAGGUUAAAACUCAAAUGAAUUGACGGGGGCCCGCACAAGCGGUGGAGCAUGUGGUUUAAUUCGAUGCAACGCGAAGAACCUUACCUACUCUUGACAUCCAGAGAACUUUCCAGAGAUGGAUUGGUGCCUUCGGGAACUCUGAGACAGGUGCUGCAUGGCUGUCGUCAGCUCGUGUUGUGAAAUGUUGGGUUAAGUCCCGCAACGAGCGCAACCCUUAUCCUUUGUUGCCAGCGGUCCGGCCGGGAACUCAAAGGAGACUGCCAGUGAUAAACUGGAGGAAGGUGGGGAUGACGUCAAGUCAUCAUGGCCCUUACGAGUAGGGCUACACACGUGCUACAAUGGCGCAUACAAAGAGAAGCGACCUCGCGAGAGCAAGCGGACCUCAUAAAGUGCGUCGUAGUCCGGAUUGGAGUCUGCAACUCGACUCCAUGAAGUCGGAAUCGCUAGUAAUCGUGGAUCAGAAUGCCACGGUGAAUACGUUCCCGGGCCUUGUACACACCGCCCGUCACACCAUGGGAGUGGGUUGCAAAAGAAGUAGGUAGCUUAACCUUCGGGAGGGCGCUUACCACUUUGUGAUUCAUGACUGGGGUGAAGUCGUAACAAGGUAACCGUAGGGGAACCUGCGGUUGGAUCACCUCCUUACCUUAAAGAA
rnacentral:rRNA from 1 species